UACCAGCACCCCGAGUGGUCGGGACGUUUAUUGGGCCUAAAGCAUCCGUAGCCGGUUCUACAAGUCUUCCGUUAAAUCCACCUGCUUAACAGAUGGGCUGCGGAAGAUACUAUGGAGCUAGGAGGCGGGAGAGGCAAGCGGUACUCGAUGGGUAGGGGUAAAAUCCGUUGAUCCAUUGAAGACCACCAGUGGCGAAGGCGGCUUGCCAGAACGCACUCGACGGUGAGGGAUGAAAGCUGGGGGAGCAAACCGG
rnacentral:rRNA from 1 species